AGAAUUUUGUUCCUGGCUCAGGGCGAAACGCGGGCGGCAGCCUUAAUACAUGCAAGUCGAACGCUGAAGCAUUCUGCUUGCAGAGUGCGGAUGAGUGGCGAACGGGUGAGUAACACGUGGGAAAUCUGCCUAGGAGUGGGGGAUAACAUUCGGAAACGGAUGCUAAUACCGCAUAUCUUUUUGAACCGCAUGGUUCUUAAACGAAAGACGGCUUCGGCUGUCGCUCUUAGAUGAUCCCGCGGCGUAUUAGUUAGUUGGUGGGGUAAAGGCCUACCAAGACCAUGAUACGUAGCCGACCUGAGAGGGUGAUCGGCCACACUGGGACUGAGACACGGCCCAGACUCCUACGGGAGGCAGCAGUAGGGAAUCUUCCACAAUGGGUGAAAACCUGAUGGAGCAAUGCCGCGUGAAUGAAGAAGGUCUUCGGAUCGUAAAGUUCUGUUAUUAGUGAAGAACAAAUCGAGGAGUAACUGUCUCGAUUUUGACGGUAACUAACCAGAAAGUCACGGCUAACUACGUGCCAGCAGCCGCGGUAAUACGUAGGUGACAAGCGUUGUCCGGAAUUAUUGGGCGUAAAGGGAGCGCAGGCGGUUGGAAUAGUCUGAUGUGAAAGCCCACGGCUUAACCGUGGAAGGUCAUUGGAAACUGUCCAACUUGAAUACAGAAGAGGUAAGUGGAAUUCCAAGUGUAGCGGUGAAAUGCGUAGAUAUUUGGAGGAACACCAGUGGCGAAGGCGACUUACUGGUCUGUAAUUGACGCUGAGGCUCGAAAGCGUGGGUAGCAAACAGGAUUAGAUACCCUGGUAGUCCACGCCGUAAACGAUGAGUGCUAAGUGUUGGAGGGUUUCCGCCCUUCAGUGCUGGAGUUAACGCA
rnacentral:rRNA from 1 species